GAUUAAGCCAUGCAUGUCUAAGAGCAAUCAGCCUCUCUUUCGGGGGAGGAAACGUGGAUCUGCGAAUAGCUCCUUAAAAGAGUCAUAAACAAGCUAACAAUGUUUUUAUAAGGAUAGCGUUGUCAACUGCAACGAUAAUACUUGUAAUAAACGAUGGUGCAAAUCACUGGAUUUGUUCGCCAUAAGGGGAGUCCUUUUGGGCUUCGUAGACUAACGAAAGUUAGCUUGAUAGAAGUGUUUCUUCCCUAUUAGCUGUGAUGGUAGGGUAAGGGCCUACCAUGGCUAUCAUGGGUACGGGGAAUCAGUGUUCGAUUCCGGAGAAGCAGCCUGAGAAACAGCUACUAUAUCCAAGGACAGCAGCAGGCGCGAAAAUUACUCAAUUCUAAUCAGAGAGAAGUAGUGAAAAGAAAUAACGACUUCCCACAUUGUGGGAAGGUACUCUUCGGAGUUUGAAAUGGCCACACCUUAAAUAAGUGUGGGAGUAUCAAGUGGAGGACAAGUUUGGUGCCAGCACCCGCGGUAAUUCCAACUCCACAAGCAUAUACUAAUGUUGCUGUAGUUAAAACGUUCGUAGUCAAUAUAAGUGCUCUUUUGUACAGGUCGGGCCAAGGCACUUCAGUUCUGGGGGGUUUCCCUUGGGACUGAGGUACCACCCCUCACGGGGUGGUUCGCCCUGGUCUCUUCGGCGAAUCAAUGCUGCCUUCGGGUGGUAUCGUGGCUUGUACAAAAGGGUGCGAUCCACAACUGUGAACAAAUCAGCGUGUUCAAAGCAGGCUCUGGGUUGCCUUCGGGUAGCCUUAUGCUUGAAUGUCCUAGCAUGGAAUUGUAACAAUUUGACCGCAAGGUCAACAAUGUGGAAUAGGAAACAGACCGAGGACGCAAGUAUUUUGGUACUAGAGGUGAAAUUCGAAAAAUACCAAAAGACUAACAGACGCGAAGGCGGUGUUGUCCAGGGCGUUUCCGUUGAUCAAGAACGAGAGUCAAGGGAUCGAAGAUGAUUAGAUACCGUCGUAGUCUUGACCGUAAACGAUACUAUCAAGAGCUUGGGGAUAUGAAACCGUUACUGAUCUCCUCAGGAUCUAAGGGAAACCGAAAGUUUUCGAGUUCUGGGGGAAGUAUGGUCGCAAGGCUGAAACUUAAAGGAAUUGACGGAAAGGCACACCAGGUGUGGAUUCUGCGGCUUAAUUCGACUCAACACGGGGAAACUCACGAAGGCAAGAUGUGGAGAGGAUUGACAAGUUAAAGACUUUUCUUGAUUCUACAAGUGGUGGUGCAUGGCCGUUCUUAGUUCGUGGAUUAAUCUGUCUGGUUAAUUCCGAUAACGAACGAGACCUCAACCGCUCAUUAGGUGGACAGCUUUGCGAAGCUGUUCUAGAACUUCGGUUCGUUACUUCUUAGCGGGACUAUCCGCGCUCAAGCGGAGGGAAGUUUGAGGCAAUAACAGGUCUGUGAUGCCCUAAGAUGCUUUCGGCAGCACGCGUAAUACAAUGUUAGUAUAAACGAGUUUAUGGGCUUUUCAGAGCCUUGCUGUUUCUAACGAAAUGGCUAAUCUUGUAAAAUGCUAACAUGACAGGGAUUGGCAAUUGGAAGUGUGCCAUGAACGAGGAAUACCUCGUAAUCGCAAGUCAUCAACUUGCAAUGAUUACGUCCCUGCCUUUUGUACACACCGCCCGUCGCUCCUACCAAUUGGGGAAAGAAGUGAGGUGGAAGGAUGGGCAGAGUAAUCUGCCUACAGAAUUCCCCCUAACUUCUUUCUCUGUAGGAAGGAGAAGUC
rnacentral:rRNA from 1 species